rnacentral:rRNA from 1 species
UACGAAGGGGGCUAGCGUUGCUCGGAAUCACUGGGCGUAAAGCGCACGUAGGCGGAUUGUUAAGUCAGGGGUGAAAUCCUGGAGCUCAACUCCAGAACUGCCUUUGAUACUGGCGAUCUCGAGUCCGGGAGAGGUGAGUGGAACUGCGAGUGUAGAGGUGAAAUUCGUAGAUAUUCGCAAGAACACCAGUGGCGAAGGCGGCUCACUGACCCGGUACUGACGCUGAGGUGCGAAAGCGUGGGGAGCAAACAGG